rnacentral:rRNA from 1 species
AGAGUUUGAUCCUGGCUCAGGACGAACGCUGGCGGCGUGCCUAACACAUGCAAGUCGAGCGGACUAGAGGUCAGAAGUCAGAGGUUGGAGUGCCGGAGGAGUGGAAGGAAAUUGCGAAGCAAUUUCCACCUUGUAUCUGGCACACUGGCUUCCGACUUCUGACCUCAAGUUAGCGGCGAACGGGUGAGUAACGCGUGGGUGACCUGCCUGGGAGACCGGGAUAACAGCCCGAAAGGGCUGCUAAUACCGGAUGACAUCAUCAGGUUGCGGCCUGGUGAUUAAAGCGUCAUGUAGCGCUUCCAGAUGGGCCCGCGUCCCAUUAGCUAGUUGGUAGGGUAAUGGCCUACCAAGGCGACGAUGGGUAGCCGGUCUGAGAGGAUGGUCGGCCACACUGGGACUGAGACACGGCCCAGACUCCUACGGGAGGCAGCAGUGGGGAAUUUUGCGCAAUGGGGGCAACCCUGACGCAGCGACGCCGCGUGGGUGACGAAGGCCUUCGGGUUGUAAAGCCCUGUCUGGGGGGAAGAUAGUGACGGUACCCCCGGAGGAAGCCCCGGCUAACUACGUGCCAGCAGCCGCGGUAAUACGUAGGGGGCGAGCGUUGUCCGGAAUUACUGGGCGUAAAGGGCGUGUAGGCGGCCUGGCAAGUCGGCUGUGAAAUCCCCCGGCUUAACCGGGGAGUGGCAGUCGAAACUGUUGGGCUUGAGUGCAGGAGAGGAGGGUGGAAUUCCUGGUGUAGCGGUGAAAUGCGUAGAUAUCAGGAGGAACACCGGUGGCGAAGGCGACCUUCUGGCCUGUUACUGACGCUGAGGCGCGAAAGCCAGGGGAGCAAACAGGAUUAGAUACCCUGGUAGUCCUGGCUGUAAACGCUGGGUACGAGGUGUAGGGGGUUUAGAUACCUUCUGUGCCGCAGUUAACGCAUUAAGUACCCCGCCUGGGGAGUACGGUCGCAAGGCUGAAACUCAAAUGAAUUGACGG